UACGUAGGCAGCAAGCGUUGUUCGGAGUUACUGGGCGUAAAGGGUGCGUAGGCGGUCCUGUAAGUAUGGUGUGAAAUCUCCCGGCUUAACUGGGAGGGUGCGCUAUAGACUGCGGGACUAGAGGGUGGGAGAGGAAAGUGGAAUUCCUGGUGUAGCGGUGAAAUGCGUAGGAUAUCAGGAGGAACACCGGUGGUGUAAACGGCUUUCUGGACCAUUUCUGACGCUGAGGCACGAAAGCGUGGUAGCAACAGG
rnacentral:rRNA from 1 species